GGGGGUGUACCUGGUUUCGACGGAAUGCGUAGGAUCGUAGGUCGCAUGUCGAGUUUCUCUCGAGAGUAUCUUGUAAAAACGCUCGGGAUUCAAACGUAAAUGCAAACAAUUACGAAUACCGUAUGGCCGCCUAACAGCCCAUACCGUUCUGCAAUGUGCCCGCCUGUCGGCGUGUUGUAAGGACGUCAUACUUGACAGGAUAGUGGUGUAAGUUGGUUGCGAUUACACUGCGAAAAUUAGUAACCUCGCAUUUGAGCGCGUGCUUUACCGCUACCUCAACUGUUAAACUUAAAGCUAAGCUAAGCAUGUAGAAGCUUAUUGGUUCGCCGUUUCGGACGAGGGUUCGACUCCCUCCACCUCCACUU
rnacentral:tmRNA from 1 species